rnacentral:lncRNA from 1 species
GCAGAUCUUCAAGGAAGUAUUGGAUAACCAUGUGCCAGUUAAGUAAUAGUGAGGAUUCCUUUAGGGUAUGAGUUGGACUAAAUGUCCUUUGAUGUACCUUGUGCUUCUAAAUUAAUUCCACUAUCAUUUAAAGUGAUUGAAAAUCAUAAUACACCUUCUAUAUUCUUGCUUAGCUUUAGCAAUAUUUGGGAUAGUUUCCCCACCAAAGUUUUCCUCACAAAUCCUUGAGAUAAUUUCAAAUCACAAUAUCUUCACUGCUAUUUUGCUUAAUGUAUAGCUAGUUAGAUAGGUACUAGUGGGGGAAUCAAGAAGGAACCAAUGUAUUGCCAGAUACUUGGGAAGGAGGGAAUAGAUAGAAGGUAGCACCAUUUCUUCCUCCCUUUUCCCCAGGCAAAGCUAUUUGACUAUGGAGUCAAGUCUGACCAGAGCCAAAGGUUUCAGAAGGACUAUACAGAGGCCUGUGAAAGAAAAAAAUUUCACUGGAGCUGCUAUGAAAAUUUACAUUCAGUUUCCUUCCAAGAUAGCAAUUUCCUUGUGGGGUGUACAUUCCACAAGAAUGAGCUGUGAAGACAUCAGAAAUGAACGAUUGCAUAUAAAUAUGGAGAAUGGACCUGAGAGAGAAGAAAUGAAUGUGGAACAGGGAGAUUGAUUAGAAGAAUAUUGUAAUAGUCCAGGUGAG